rnacentral:lncRNA from 1 species
GGGAGGUCGCAACCUGUGGUCAACGGUGCCUGAGUGGAAUGUCAGUGCACAGAUAGCAUAGCAGCGGCGAUUCUGUACACGGCAUUGGCGCUACACAAAGGCGGUGACUUUGCUAGUGGUUGUGCACCGUCCUGGCGCUGCUUCACACCAAAGUAACAUAGCGGCGCCAAGAAUAAUACCUGCAGCAAUGAAAAUACUACUAGCAAUAGUGGGGAAAGUACUAGUAGAGAGAUUGGAGAUUCGUUAAAGAGGAAACUAGGGGCUUUGGUUGAGAUGUAGAACAAAGAACAAAGAUCGAAAAUUCCUCAGAGGAGAAAGCUGGGACAGAAAGAAAAAAAGGUAUUUCUUUUAAUGGCUUUAUCACGUGGCUUUGAUUAUGCCUGAGUUGUAUUAGCACCUUUAUAAUAAAUAAUAAAAAACAAAAUUGUAGCAUUACUUUGUCCGAAUUUAACAAUGUAAUGAUCAAAGUCAAUAUUGAGCCCCAUAGCCUGUCAAAAUUAUCAUUAAACCUUCUUUGGUCUUAGGAUUAUAAAUUUGUCGUGCACAAUCUUAAUUUACGUCUACCAGACGAAGUAUUAGGUUCAUCCAACGUUAUACUAUAAUUGUUGCAAUAACACGGAAAAAUCUUUAAAAACUGUUGAUUUCACUUUUUAUAGGAUAGAACAGAAAAUACAGUCUGUGUCAAUGUAAAGAUGAGCAACAUAACAG